CAGUGAGAGUCUUUUCACGAGAGCUGAUGUUGUUGUGGGUUUUGACAGCACAGGAGUAGUUUCCUGCAUGCUGACUGCUGACUGGGUCUAGAACCAGGUGUUUGUUCUGGUUCUCUGGCAGGGUCAGAGGUUGACUGUUCAGGUACCAGAUGUAGUUUGUGUUGUCAGUCAGAGGACAGCUGGUACUGCAGGUCAGUGUGACUCUCUGACCCUCUGUCACCACUGCAGAAGGAGUAAACUUCACUUCCAGACCUGAAAG